GGCGGGACCAGGACAGAGGUGUCCCUGUCUCUGCCUGCUGCCGUUCGCGCAGCUCUCGCCAGCCGCUGGCGCCGUUGAUGCCACCACCCGUGUCCCUACACCGGGAAACAGCGCGAAAAAUCGCUCUGAGGGCGUUGUGUCGGCGUAGGAGUCGGGUGGGGAUUUCAGGCAGCCGACAAAACAGACGCCCUUGUGAGGAGAAACGGGCCUUUAAUCGUACCACAGCCAACAUGGCGGUUUAGCCGGAGAUGGCUUCCGCCAGCACCCAAGAUGGCGGCGAUGGGCGGGAGUCACGCGGUGCCACACCAAAGAUGGCGGUUCGUCACGCUGCUGAGUGCACUUCCAAAUAUGGCGGCAUCGUGCGCAUGCGCCUUGACAAGAAGGGACCUACAUCGAGAUAGCAGCCACAGGACACCUGAAUCUUUCAGAGAAAAAGUAUUGCCCUUUUAUCAGAAGAAACAAACUUCUUCCUGCCUUGCUCAGUCCUGAAGGUGCCAUUAGGAUUAUGAGGAAGAAGUUGACGAUGACCAGACAGAAUCCUGUGUUUGAAUGGAAUUUAUGCAUCAUGUAUGAGGUGUAUGAAUAUGCAACAGGCUGUUGUUUUUAAGGGUUAAUCCUCUGUUAACGUGGGUCCUUUUUCGGGCUUAUUUUGCACAGAAAUAGGUACCCGGACCCUCCGUAACUCUUUGUUCUUAUUGUCUCAUAUUGUCCUAAAUCCUAAUUGUCCAAAUUUGUAUUACUCUCAUUAUAUUACUAUUUUUAUAACCAUUUUAUUACUAUUAAAUUUUUUAAAUUCUAGAAACCAA